rnacentral:rRNA from 1 species
AACGAACGCUGGCGGCAGGCUUAACACAUGCAAGUCGAGCGAGACCUUCGGGUCUAGCGGCGGACGGGUGAGUAACGCGUGGGAACGUGCCCUUCUCUACGGAAUAGCCCCGGGAAACGGGGAGUAAUACCGUAUACGCCCUUUGGGGGAAAGAUUUAUCGGAGAAGGAUCGGCCCGCGUUGGAUUAGGUAGUUGGUGGGGUAAUGGCCCACCAAGCCGACGAUCCAUAGCUGGUUUGAGAGGAUGAUCAGCCACACUGGGACUGAGACACGGCCCAGACUCCUACGGGAGGCAGCAGUGGGGAAUCUUAGACAAUGGGGGCAACCCUGAUCUAGCCAUGCCGCGUGAGUGAUGAAGGCCUUAGGGUUGUAAAGCUCUUUCAGCUGGGAAGAUAAUGACGGUACCAGCAGAAGAAGCCCCGGCUAACUCCGUG